AUUGAACGCUGGCGGCAGGCCUAACACAUGCAAGUCGAGCGGAUGAAGAGAGCUUGCUCUCUGAUUUAGCGGCGGACGGGUGAGUAAUGCCUAGGAAUCUGCCUGGUAGUGGGGGAUAACGUUCCGAAAGGAACGCUAAUACCGCAUACGUCCUACGGGAGAAAGCAGGGGACCUUCGGGCCUUGCGCUAUCAGAUGAGCCUAGGUCGGAUUAGCUAGUUGGUGAGGUAAUGGCCCACCAAGGCGACGAUCCGUAACUGGUCUGAGAGGAUGAUCAGUCACACUGGAACUGAGACACGGUCCAGACUCCUACGGGAGGCAGCAGUGGGGAAUAUUGGACAAUGGGCGAAAGCCUGAUCCAGCCAUGCCGCGUGUGUGAAGAAGGUCUUCGGAUUGUAAAGCACUUUAAGUUGGGAGGAAGGGCAGUAAGUUAAUACCUUGCUGUUUUGACGUUACCGACAGAAUAAGCACCGGCUAACUUCGUGCCAGCAGCCGCCGUAAGAC
rnacentral:rRNA from 1 species